CAUACAGUGGGCUUACCGCACACUAGCACUACCCAGCAUAAUGUAGUUUACUCCACACCUAGAUUACCCUACACAUGGAUUACUCCACACCUAGUUUACUCCACACCUAGAUCACCCUACACAUGAUUUACUCCACACCUAUAUUACCCUACACAUGGUUUACUCCACACCUAGAUCACCCUACACAUGGUUUACUCCAAACCUAGAUUACCCUACACAUGGUUUACUCCACACCUAGAUUACCCUACAUAUGGUUUACUCCACACCUAGAUUACCCUACACUUAGAUCACUCCACAUCUAGUUUACUCCACACCUAGAUGACUCUAUACCUAUUUUUAUCCUGCACAUGGUUUACUUUUAGAUUACUCUACACCUACAUUAUUUUACACGUGGUUUACGCCACAUCUAUUUCAUUCUACUCCUAGUUUACUGUACACCUUUUACUCCAUGCACUGUUCUCAAACUCUGCUAAGCCUCUCUCUUUUUGUUACUUUUGUUCUUUAAAACUCGCUGCACUUAUAGCAUGUGCUACCCCUAAUCAGCUUGUUGUAACCAAGUCAUUCGGUUGCCAUUUUAUCUUGAUACUGUACUUGGCACUUUCCCUCAGCUUCCACAAACUCUCAUCCACAAACUGAACAAUAAUCCUUGAGAUAUUUUGAAACACCCUAAUGCAUUGGUCAUGCAUUGUGGUGCUUCUAGAGUUUCAGCUGGUUAUUAGUAAAGUGGUGUUUUGAUGUAUUGCCUUAAAUUAUAUACAUCAAGAACUUUUUCAUGCUUUAAUUGUAUUCCUAUUUACAGUCUCUCUCUCUCUCUCUCUCUCUUUCUAACUGAUUAACCUUGAUUAACCUGAUUACUCUCUCAUUAACCUUUGUGGAGAUUUGAUCCCACUAACCCAGUGACGUUAUGAAUGGGUUUCCCUCUCUCUUGUAUUAACCCUUAAAGGAGUACCGUCACACCGGUGUGACGGGAAUGUU